rnacentral:rRNA from 1 species
UACGGAGGGGGCUAGCGUUGUUCGGAAUUACUGGGCGUAAAGCGCACGUAGGCGGCUUUGUAAGUUAGAGGUGAAAGCCCGGGGCUCAACUCCGGAAUUGCCUUUAAGACUGCAUCGCUAGAAUUGUGGAGAGGUAAGUGGAAUUCCGAGUGUAGAGGUGAAAUUCGUAGAUAUUCGGAAGAACACCCGUGGCGAAGGCGGCUCUCUGGGACGGUACUGACGCUGAGACGCGAAAGCGUGGGGAGCGAACAGG